rnacentral:rRNA from 1 species
GUGGGUUUGUAAGUCGGGCGUGAAAUCCCUCGGCUUAACCGAGGAACUGCGUCCGAAACUGCAUGGCUUGAGGACGGAAGGGGAAGGUGGAAUUCCUGGUGGAGCGGUGAAAUGCGUAGAUAUCAGGAGGAACGCCGGUGGCGAAAGCGGCCUUCUGGUCCGUUUCUGACGCUGAGGUGCGAAAGCUAGGGGAGCAAACAGGAUUAGAUACCCUGGCAGUCCUAGCCGUAAACGAUGGGCACUAAGUAGAGGGG